GCUUUUGGCUUCACAGACAGACUAUGAACCUGAAGUCCUUGGAAGGGUUUUGGGGGUGUCUCUGAAUCUCCAGAGAAUCUCUAUUUUUCUGUAGGUGAGGUCUUUUGGGGAGGGGCUUCAUGACAUUCAUCUGAUUCCUGAAGGAGUCUGUGUUCUCAAACAGGUAAAGAAGCAUAGGUUUGAUGCCUUCCUUAUUGCAGGCACUGAUCUGUAUUCUCUGGGCUGUUUGGAGGCAACAUGGAUGAUAUUUGGGGGAGAUUUUGGAAGGCCGCAGGGCCUCCCUCACAUACCCAUGCCCCUGCCCAGGUGGGAGGGGCUUGCAGAGCACCAGGAACCAAAAGCCUUGGCUUUGCAGCCAGCAGACAGGGGUUCAAUCCUGGCCUUGCCCUCCACUGGCCCGUCUGUCUCUCCGAGCCUCGGUUCCCAGGCUGGGUUGGCCCCAGGAGGACUUGGAGGGCUGACCACAGUGUCUGGUGCACAGGGUACCACGAAAAGGGUACCUGCUCUUACUGUUAUCACCAUCAGCAUCCCUGGACAUUCAGAAGCUUCCCUCAGCUCACCUGGAGCCCAAGAAAAGCUGCCCCAUGUCUGGCUAACAGGAGGUUUGAAUUCCCUCUGCUCUUGAUUUGACUUUAUCUUUGGUACCAGCAACUAAAGUGAGUUCAUGAGACAUAUUCAUACGGUCAGUCUGCUAAACAGCAGGCCCCCAAUUCUGCUUUUUUAGAAGUUCAGUGGCUUCAUUUGAACAGGGACAAUAAUAGACAUUUCCUGAGAGUGAAAUAAGAGAUUGGAAGUGUCUCUGUUGCUUGGCUGUUUCAAAUCCUCCUGUUUUUGUUUUUUUUCCCACCUGAGGAGUUACUCUGGACCUCGAGCUUGGAUCUGUUUUCCCUCUAAAAUGCUUCUCUCUGCAGCCUGGUUCCCUGGCCCAGUCAUCCACAGCAGGCAGGUUCAUUCCAGGGCCCGGUGACCACCUCUGAGAAGGCUGAGGGAAUCUUCGGCGACAGGCCUGUCCUGGAGACAGGCCUCCGCACACAGGCUGGUCCACAGCCAGGCCGGCCCGGUGCAGUCUGCGGCCAGUUGCCGGGCGUGGUCCCAUUCAGCAGGGGCCCAGUGGCUCCAGACAACAGCUGGAGACCAGGAAGGGAGACUUCCAGCUACAAGCAAAUGUUGCUGCUUCUUGAGGUUGAAAUGUUCUAUCCCCAAAGUGCCCCUUUCAGCCAAGCAAAAACAAUUCCCCACAGGGACCCGACCCUGCCACAGAGGAACAAAGGCGCCCCAGUUCUCUGUGUUCCAGAGACUGUCUGCAGUUUCAGGCACGCACAGCCCAGUUGGGGAGAGGGGAUGGUCAUGUGAUCUUCAAGCUUGAAGACAAGGUCGUCCUUGUCCAGGCCUUUUGUCUCUGGAGGAAGGCCCUUGGUUGCCUGACAGAGGAUGAGGCUGACGCUGCCCUGGUGCCAGCUCCCGGGCGGGCAGGUUUUAGUGUCCCAUCCUGCAGGUUCAGAACAAGGAGACGAGGUCAAGGUCAGGGGUCCCCGGAGUCCACCCGGACUGGCCGGGAGGAGGGCGCCUCCUGGCCCUGCUUCAGGCCAGGUACCUGCCUUCUGGCUGCAUGUGUUCACUUUUCUGUUGCAGGCGGAUCCAUCUCUAAGAAGUUCACCAGCAAGGCCGCUCCAUCUGUUCUCCAACAGCCAUUAAAAAUAUUAGUAUUUUCUUCAGGGGCAGGCGAGAGCUUCUGGGGAAGAGAGAAGGAGAACUCAGAGAAGACCAAUGCUCAAGUGACACCGGCCUCUGAGGUGCCAGCUGAGGUUGGGGCGGGGGUGGUGGUGGUGAAACCACCACGUCAAGGCAGCACCUUCCGGAGAAGCGUCUGGAAUGACUGCUGUGCCCUGCCCUCUCUGUCCCUCGAUGAAUCUCUGGAGCAAUAUGGCCUUCUAAGUCGAGGAACCGGUACUCUGUGGACGGUGGAAGAAGUGGCCAGUGGAACUUAAGGCCGUUGUCUGUGAGUGGACAAUUCAUUUCAGAGGAGAAGGUGACUACUGACCAAGCUUCUCAAAUGAGCCAGGUCAGGACACUUGGGCAGCACCAUGUUCUUCACCUACCAGCUGGAUUCCAGAACAACAAGGAGCAGCUACCGCUUAUUGAAAACAUACCACAGGUAACAACUCACCACAGCCAGGUGGCCUGAGUACUGUAACUGCCCUCACCUGGCAGGUGAGGAAAUAGGCACCAGAGGAGCCACUCACCCAAGGUCAUGUGGCAAGUGCGGGGACGGGGUGAGCGGGGCCCUGUGGAGGUGGUGGCUCUCUCAGCCCUCCCCUCCCACCACAGCACCGCUCUGGGGGCCCGGAUAGGCUCUUGGCCUCUCUGACUGCACCCUUGGUUUAACCUCACUCCGACCUAUUUCCCGAAUGCAAGUGGGAAAUGCUUCUCAACUGGGAACCUGACACCGCUCCUCCACGGAAAUCCUUCACAGGCUCCCUGCUAUAUACCCCCAGCCUUGCAGCUGGGUCCCACAGGCUGACGCUCGGCUCCCUCAGGACCCGCUGAAAGGGGCUUUGGGGCGCACAGCCCUCACAGGAGAGGGCAACUCACACCCACGCUUCUUCCCUGUUAUUAAAAAGGAAGGGGUGGGUGGGGGGAAGGGAAGAGGAAGUGCCGGCUGCUCAGAAUGGCAGGGGGACCCAUGUGGAUGAGAGUCAUGCAGCUCGCCAGCCUCCUCCACCUCCUGAGCCGGGGGAGCUGUGCAUCUUACGGGAGCAGACACUGGACUGACCAGCCUGAGGCCACCUCAGACCCGGGGUCUGGUGCCCUCGCCCGUGGCCGCCCUGUGGGUGUGGGAUCCCAACUCUUCAGAGCUGUCGGAGAUCGGCUGCGGGUCAGAGGCACAGACGAGAGCUGAGCAACUGGGAGGCAGUGACCAGGGAUGAGCCCACGGUCCCCUAGCACAGCAACGUCCCAGCCCAUGGGCUUGGGAGCCUCCCAUAAACACAACAACCCUGGGCCUGUCGCAGUUUCUACAACAAUGAGAAUAUUUAUUUUCUCCAGAGGGUAAAAAUAACAUUUUUCUCUCUUUUGUAAAAGUUAAGUACCAUUACAUUCCAUUUUCUUAAAUAACAAAAUCCUAAAAAUAUAUAUUAAAUUGUAUACAGUGCAUCACACUUCAUCUUAUAUUUUAAAAUACAUGAUGUUUCUAUUUUAUUCUCAAAGUUGCAUAUUAAGAGCAUAUUUACAGGUAAAGCCUUGUCAUCCAGAGUCAGGAGCCCCUUGGGAAGGUGAGUCUGGGUGUGGGCGGUCCUGACGCCGUGAGGACCCCGUGGCAGCAGCCCCCACCCCCACCUGUGCUCCUGGCGACACGUCCUUUCCAAAGCAGCGGACUGACCUGGACUUUCCCCUACACCCCACUGCUGCCUCACUGAGUGUGUUCAACUCGGCAAGACGGGAACCUAGGAGAUGGGCCCCCGGGGUCUGCAGGCUGAGAGUGAGGCCCCGUCCCCCUGAGCUGGCCAGCCUGAGGGGAGGCAGCUGCUGCGGCUGGAAGAGAAACACCCCACACCGGGGCGGCUAAGCUGAGAGCCCCAGCCAGGAGGUAGAACAGUGAGGAAGGUAAACGAGACACCAGAGAAACAAUCAGAAGGUUAAACAUUCCCAAGACGGCAGCAAAAGCAGACGUCAAACAGCAAGGGAGACUGGGAGCCAAGAGGCUGCGGGCCGGCCCGGCUCUACGGGAGGCCGGGUGCGGCCAGACCAGGGACCGACCUCAGAGGCCGCCCACCGGCAAGUGGGCAAGUGCUCGGGAAGAUGAAGUGCCAGGACUCAUAGGGGUGUGGCGACACUGGGGUCAGGACGACCUGGCUGGAUACGGAGCAGGUCCGACCACUCCUGCCAGGGGCUGACAAUGGGCAGGGCGGCGGGGGGCUGGGGGGGGGCGCCCCCUCCCCCCUGGGUUUGGCAGAAGGGCCAGGACAGCUGCGCCUGCAAGUGCUCUGAUCUCUGUGGGUUUCUGGCUGACUGGAGUCUUGAGCCAGAGCCCACACUUCAGAAGUUACAGCAACCUGGUUACCUCACUCACGCCCAGAAAGGGGGGGCCUCAACCCUGUUCUGAUGUGUGGGCACCUGGGUUCAUUCCUCUUUCCUUCUCUGUUCUGUGUGCCCCUGGCCACUUGGGGAAGAACACGAGCCCCGUGAGCCUUCUCCAGGGGCCAAGAGGCCAGGCUCCCCAGCUGGCUGGAGUGGGGUGUGGGCUGAGGGGGGGCCUGGGUCCCGGCAGCACCCCAUCACCCCAGGGCAGGGAUGCUUUGCUCCACCGGGGUCCUCGGAGCCUCUACGCUUCCUCUUACCUAAGCCCGUGUGCUCUGUCGUGUGCUCUGCUCAGGGUCACCCUUUCCAGUCCCCUCCAACCCCGACUUUCUCGCCUCUGAAGUGGUUUCUU